AUUGAACGCUGGCGGCAGGCCUAACACAUGCAAGUCGAGCGGUAGCACAGAGAGCUUGCUCUCGGGUGACGAGCGGCGGACGGGUGAGUAAUGUUUGGGAAACUGCCUGAUGGAGGGGGAUAACUACUGGAAACGGUAGCUAAUACCGCAUAACGUCGCAAGACCAAAGUGGGGGACCUUCGGGCCUCAUGCCAUCAGAUGUGCCCCGAUGGGAUUAGCUAGUAGGUGGGGUAACGGCUCACCUAGGCGACGAUCCCUAGCUGGUUUGAGAGGAUGACCAGCCCCACUGGAACUGAGACCCGGUCCCGACUCCUACGGGAGGCAGCAGUGGGGAAUAUUGCACAAUGGGCGCAAGCCUGAUGCAGCCCUGCCGCGUGUGUGAAGAAGGCCUUCGGGUUGUAAAGCACUUUCAGCGGGGAGGAAGGCGAUAAGGUUAAUAACCUUGUCGAUUGACGUUACCCGCAGAAGAAGCCCCGGCUAACUCCGUG
rnacentral:rRNA from 1 species